rnacentral:rRNA from 1 species
UUUGGUUAUGUACGGCUAAGCAUUGAGACAGUCUAAAUAGGCAAAUCCGUUUGGACAAUGCUAGGAUGUGAUGGGGAAACCCUCCGGGGCGAAGUAGCUGAUUUCACACUGUCAAGAAAAGCUUCUAUCGAGUUUAAAGGCGCCCGUACCGUAAACCGACACAGGUGGGUGAGGAGAGUAUCCUAAGGCCAGCGAGAGAACUAUUGUUAAGGAACUCGGCAAAAUGACCCCGUAACUUAGGGAGAAGGGGUGCCUGUCUAUGACAGGCCGCAGAGAAUAGGCCCAAGCGACUGUUUACCAAAAACACAGGUUUCUGCUAAGUCGCAAGACGAUGUAUAGGAGCUGACGCCUGCCCGGUGCUGGAAGGUUAAGGGGAUCUGUUAGAGCAAUCGAAGCAGUGAACUUAAGCCCCAGUAAACGGCGGCCGUAACAUUAACGGUCCUAAGGUAGCGAAAUUCCUUGUCGGGUAAGUUCCGACCCGCACGAAAGGCGUAACGAUUUGGGCACUGUCUCAACAAUAGACUCGGUGAAAUUGUAAUCCCGGUGAAGAUGCCGGGUACCUGCGACAGGACGGAAAGACCCCAUGGAGCUUUACUGUAGCUUGACGUUGGGUCUUGGUACUACAUGUACAGGAUAGGUGGGAGACUAUGAAGCAUGGACGCCAGUCUGUGUGGAGUCAUCCUUGGGAUACCACCCUUGUAGUACUGGGAUCCUAACCACAGGCCUUGAAUCAGGUCUUGGAACACCGUCAGGUGGGCAGUUUGACUGGGGCGGUCGCCUCCUAAAAAGUAACGGAGGCGCUCAAAGGUUUCCUCAGCACGGUCGGAAAUCGUGCGAAGAGUGUAAAGGCAAAAGGAAGCUUGAUUGCAAGACAUACAGGUCGAGCAAGGACGAAAGUCGGACUUAGUGAUCCGGUGGUACCGCAUGGAAGGGCCAUCGCUCAACGGAUAAAAGCUACCCUGGGGAUAACAGGCUUAUCUCCCCCAAGAGUCCACAUCGACGGGGAGGUUUGGCACCUCGAUGUCGGCUCAUCACAUCCUGGGGCUGUAGUAGGUCCCAAGGGUUGGGCUGUUCGCCCAUUAAAGUGGUACGCGAGCUGGGUUCAGAACGUCGUGAGACAGUUCGGUCCCUAUCCGUCGCAGGCGUAGGAAAUUUGAGAAGACCUGUCCUUAGUACGAGAGGACCGGGAUGGACGUACCUCUGGUGUACCAGUUGUUCUGCCAAGGGCAUGGCUGGGUAGCUAUGUACGGAAUGGAUAAGCGCUGAAAGCAUCUAAGCGCGAAGCCAACUUCAAGAUAAGAUUUCCCACCGUAAGGGUAAGACCCCAGGAAGACUACCUGGUUGAUAGGUCGAAGGUGUAAGUGCAGUAAUGUAUUUAGCUUAUCGAUACUAAUAGGUCGAGGACUUG